AUUGAACGCUGGCGGCAUGCCUUACACAUGCAAGUCGAACGGCAGCACGGGAGCAAUCCUGGUGGCGAGUGGCGAACGGGUGAGUAAUAUAUCGGAACGUGCCCAGUCGUGGGGGAUAACGUAGCGAAAGCUACGCUAAUACCGCAUACGAUCUAUGGAUGAAAGCGGGGGAUCGCAAGACCUCGCGCGAUUGGAGCGGCCGAUAUCAGAUUAGGUAGUUGGUGAGGUAAAGGCUCGCCAAGCCGACGAUCUGUAGCUGGUCUGAGAGGACGACCAGCCACACUGGGACUGAGACACGGCCCAGACUCCUACGGGAGGCAGCAGUGGGGAAUUUUGGACAAUGGGCGCAAGCCUGAUCCAGCAAUGCCGCGUGCAGGAU
rnacentral:rRNA from 1 species